AUGGAACGGAUGGAGGUGGACCAGUGCGCAGGCGCGGCUGGGGGGGCGGGGGGCGGGGCCCUGCGCAGGUCGAACAGCGCCCCCAUGAUUACCAGCGUCAGUGACGGGAUGACCGUCUUCAGUCCCGUGUCCUCGGCUCGGUACAGGCGCAGCAGCGUGUCCAUCAACCCCAGCUGUCCUUCACAGCUCGUCCCUUUGUCUCCGUUCUCUCUGACUGGAGACCACAAGAGACAGGAGGAGAACAUGGAGAUGACACUCAGAGGAAGUCUGCAGAGACUCAGUGGUUCCAGUCUGGUUCCAGUUCCUCCGGUGGCUCAGUGGACCGAUCAGACCUCAGUGUGGUUUCAGUCACAGGACAGCGGCGUCACACCUAACUCCUCCCCCAGUCCCACCAGGAGGUUCAGACCGGCAGUAAGAUGGCCGCCGCUAACGCCGCUGAAGAGGAAAGGGGGGGCAGAGUCUGACGGACCUCCAAAGAAGCUCUUUGUUGCCGGGGUAACAGACCCCGCCCACCGCAGUAGCUACACAGUCAGUGUCUCUCCGUCGGCGGCGGACUCUCCACCGACAGGAGGCGUCAGUCCUCAGUCCCUGUCUCCGCCCCCCUCCUUCACCCCCUUCAGCUCCCAGCAGCACCCUGGGCACUAA
rnacentral:lncRNA from 1 species